rnacentral:rRNA from 1 species
GACGAACGCUGGCGGCGCGCCUAAUACAUGCAAGUCGAACGGAUCGCCCUUCGGGGCGGUUAGUGGCGGACGGGUGAGUAACACGUGGGCGACCUGCCGUCGAGUGGGGAAUAACGCUGGGAAACCAGCGCUAAUACCGCAUCCGCUCUAUUCUUCGCUGGAUAGAGGAAAGCUUGAUGCGCUCGACGAGGGGCCUGCGGCGGAUUAGCUAGUCGGUGGGGUAAUGGCCUACCGAGGCGACGAUCCGUAGCUGGUCUGAGAGGAUGAUCAGCCACACUGGGACUGAGACACGGCCCAGACUCCUACGGGAGGCAGCAGUAAGGAAUCUUCCGCAAUGGGGGCAACCCUGACGGAGCGACGCCGCGUGGACGAUGAAGCCUUUCGGGGUGUAAAGUCCUUUUCACGGGGAGGAGACGGACCGUACCCGUGGAAGAAGUCACGGCUAACUACGUGCCAGCCGCCGCGGUAA